CUCUACAAGCGAAUUGCCCUUAAAUUGAUUUGUGCGAACCGGAAAAAUGAUUUACGAGCACAGUGUGCGAGUAAAGACUACAAUCUACCGUAAUCUAUUUUUUUUUUACCCCACAAGCGCCAACCACAGUAGUGUUUUCAGUGCUGACGCAGUCCAGUCAGAGUGAGAGAAAGGUGAACAACACUGGGGGAAAAGUAUUGGUAUAGGCUGUAAAUUAACGUGCAGACUUCGCUAAAAAUGAAGCCCAUUACAGUUUAUUUUAAGCGAAUAAGAGACGAGGAGAAAUAGUAAUCAGGCGAGGCGGAUUCGCAAGGUUCAACUAAUGAAGCCUCUUCACAAGGUUUACAUGAGGCGGUUAGCGAAGCUACGGUGACUCCGGCUGUCACUUCAACGUCCACUGUAGCCGGCGGAGGGAGAACAUAUAGAUUCAACGCGAAUUGGCUCAAAAUGUCACCGCGAAUUGGCUCAAAAUGUCACCAUGGCUAGAGUUAGAAAACAAUGUAAUGUUCUGCAAAUAUUGUAGAAGGUUGAAACAGGCGGGCAACCCGUCCUUCGGGUCAGGAAAAAGAGCUAUAGCGCAGCGAAACAUAACAUCUGUCUGCGGCAUAUCCAGUGCAGAGAUCUGAACAUGUUGAGACAGGAGACAUCAUAAAGCACGGUGUCAAGCAGCCUUGAGGAGGCAAGUGUUUCUGUCUGAGGAGGAGACAGCUGAAAAUAAGAUAAACAUAACAUACUAAAUUGCGAAAGAACCUUUAGUCAAAUUUGGUCGGACAACAGACUUCGGAACACUCCAUGCCAUUGGUGUUUUGGAUGCCACCAAGGCCGCAUUUCGUGCUGUUUGCCCAGAGGAAGAUGGAGGGUCAUGGAUGAAGAAGUGGGUCUCCUUCGGGGCAGAUGGUGCCACCGUGGGGGAGUGAUUGACCACCUGCAGAGAGGGGCAGGGGGGCAUAUAAUCCCAAUCCACUGUAUGCCACAUGUAUUUGUAACUAAUAAAUUAUCUGAUUUAGUUUUAUUUGCUAGCAUAUAAUGUUAAACAAUACUGUGUGUGUCUGUGUGUGCUCUGGAAUGGUAAGUACCUCAGAAUUAUUGUUUUCUGUUGGCACAAGAGAUGGGGGGGAUGAAUUGUUUGGAAGAUUCAGUUCUGACUUUCACAGGCUAGAGCUGGCAAUAAUGACCAUUCAGAAGAAAGAGCCAAAUGUGUCUGUAUGAUCUUCUGAAUCUGAUAUGUAUCACUUCAGAAGAUGUAUCACUUCAGCGGAAAAUCCAAACGAGAGCUCUAUGUUCUCGGGCAAGAGCUCAGUGUAGAUAUUUGCACACCGUCUAGUGUCAAGGGAACUCGCUGGAUCCCCCAUGUCCACAGAGCCCUCAGUGUUCCUGCGGCAUGGACAAGACAAGGACCUCUAGUGUCAAGGGAACUCGCUGGAUCCCCCAUGUCCACAGAGCCCUCAGUGUUCCUGCGGCAUGGACAAGACAAGGACCUCUAGUGUCAAGGGAACUCGCUGGAUCCCCCAUGUCCACAGAGCCCUCAGUGUUCCUGAGGCAUGGACAAGACAAGGACCUCUAGUGUCAAGGGAACUCGCUGGAUCCCCUAUGUCCACAGAGCCCUCAGUGUUCCUGAGGCAUGGACAAGACAAGGACCUUACCGCUGACGAAGGCCAGUACUCCGUUGUUCUGCAACACAUCAACAACAGCAGAUGUUCUUGGGCAGGCAAAGAAGGGUAUAACACUGAAGGGGAAUCUGAAAGGCUUCACAGACCUCACCAAUCCCUAGCUGAAGCAGCACAUGGAGGCGGCCAUCAACAUUGGCGUGGAUGAUCUCAAAGCCAGGUUUGGUGGUUUUCUGAAGAAUGAGGGUGUCCAGACCCCAGUGGAGUCUUUCAGAGUGCUAAACCCUGACACAUGGCCAGAAGACCAGGCCAGCCUUCUCACCUUUGGCGAUGAUGGUGGGCAGACCUGAUGAGGCAUUUCAAGGAGAUGAGAAUUUAUUUGACACUGCAUUGCCAUAUGAGACAAUGUUAUAUUUGCAUAUUUGUAAACUCACUUGGCUGCAAUCCAGGAUGAGUGGCAGGGGCUGAAAAUCCUGGUCAGCCACAAUUUCAAGGACAAGUCGUAGUGGCAUGUGGGAGACCAUGUUGACAAAGGACCCCUACAGGCACGAUUACAAGGUAGACUAACAGCCCAGAGUGGUUAUGUAUGGUAUCCUUUUAUGGUUGGUUUUGAUAAGUUAAUGGUAAGAUUUAAAUGAAAGAUAUCAUCUUUUCCCUACAACAUACUGGAGUUGGUGCAGCUUAUGCUGGUGCUGCCCAUUUCAGCCGCCCGGUGUGAGUGAGGCUUCUCUGCACAGAACCGGAUUAAGAUUGACAAGAAGCUGCCUUGGGGUCUCUACCACCGAAGACCUGAUAAGGAUCAGCCUGUGGGGCUUCUGUCGAGGUGUUGGAUCCCACUCCUGAUGUGGACUGCUGGCUGACCUCUAAGCGUGCCAGACGGCCAACAUACAAAAGCAGCUGGACAACUGAUAUCCUUUGCGUCUAGUAGCCAUGAGGAGUCAAUGUGUGAUUGGUGGUAUGUGUCCCUUAGUACACGCACGCAGUAUAAAUAUGUAUGUAGUAAAUUGUUUGUUA